GGGCCCGCACAAGCGGUGGAGCAUGUGGUUUAAUUCGAAGCAACGCGAAGAACCUUACCAAGGAUUGACAUAUAGCUGAAAGGUGUAGAGAUACACCCUUCCUUCGGGACAGUUAUACAGGUGGUGCAUGGUUGUCGUCAGCUCGUGUCGUGAGAUGUUGGGUUAAGUCCCGCAACGAGCGCAACCCUUGUUUUCAGUAGCCAUCAGUUCGGCUGGGCACACUGGAGAGACUGCCGUGGAGAACACGGAGGAAGGUGGGGAUGACGUCAAAUCAUCAUGCCCCUUAUAUCUUGGGCUACACACGUGCUACAAUGGAACCGACAAAGUGAAGCAAACCUGCGAGGGGGAGCAAACCACAGAAACGGUUUCUCAGUUCGGAUUGCAGUCUGCAACUCGAGUGCAUGAAGAUGGAAUCGCUAGUAAUCGCAAAUCAGAAUGUUG
rnacentral:rRNA from 1 species